rnacentral:tRNA from 1 species
GUUUCUGUGGUGUAGUGGUUAUCAUGUUCGCCUCACACGAGAAAAGUCCCUGAUUCGAGACUGGGUGGGAACG